AUCGGAGGGUAGUGUGUCCGCAGUGUGUAUGCAGAUCUUACCCCUACCCGAAGGAGCAGAGAGGCUGUUUCCGAAAGACCUCGGCUCAAAAAAAAAACAAAAAGAAAACUUGUACAUCCUUCAACGCAGUAGAUCCAUCCAACACUUAGUUCUCAAUGAUUUUCUCUUCAACUUAAAUCGUUCUCUUUAUUUUUAUGUAAUAUCUCAUUCCGUUCUCUUUAUUUUCUGUGUACUUUCCUGCUUAAUUAUUGGUUUCAGAUCUAAAGCUUGAGAUGAAGAGGUAAUAGCUUUGGUGGAAGAUGUAAUGAUUCACGAAGAGCAUUCUUCGAACUCUUGUUGCAUUUUGGAGUCAAUUGGAAGUGAUUUGGAAAGUUUUCAUGCAAAGUGAAGUAAAAAAAGGAAGAAUUUAGAUGAAGUAUAAGUUUGGUGCCCGGGUCCCGGACAACGAAGCGAGGUUAACUUCGCGAGACCGGGACCCGAGCAGAAGAACUAGAAAAGUCUCGGACCGCGAAGCGAGGGUCACUUCGCGAGACCGGGACCGGAGCAGAAAAUUUCAGCUUCUCCCAUCUGAAUUAGCAGAAACCCAAUUUGCCCCAACAAACCCUAGCCACUAUAAAUACAUCGAAAAACAUGCUUUUAAGGUGGAGACACUACUUUGGGAGGGGAGAAGACUUUGGGAACAUUAUUUGGAGGCAAGAACAUCACGUGGAACAACGUUUCGAGGAGAAAAUCAUCGAGUUCUUCAUUCCUUCAUCUUUUCUUUGUAAUUUGUUUAUGCAAAAUACUUGGAAAAUUGUUACUAGGAACAUGAGUGGCUAAGCACUCUAGUUUCUAGGGUUGUGGUUGACGUGAUUAUUAACGUUUAUUAAUUACAUCUUCGUUAAUUCGGAUUAUCUUGUGGUUAUUUUCUUAAUUCUAGUUUUAACUUGUGAAUUGUUGUAGUUACCAAUUCACCCUACUAUCUAUGCUAUGCUUGGGAAA